rnacentral:rRNA from 1 species
CGGACGGGUGAGUAAUGUCUGGGAAACUGCCCGAUGGAGGGGGAUAACUACUGGAAACGGUAGCUAAUACCGCAUAACGUCGCAAGACCAAAGAGGGGGACCUUCGGGCCUCUUGCCAUCGGAUGUGCCCAGAUGGGAUUAGCUAGUAGGUGGGGUAACGGCUCACCUAGGCGACGAUCCCUAGCUGGUCUGAGAGGAUGACCAGCACACUGGAACUGAGACACGGUCCAG